UGCCCUGCUGCAGCCUCAGGCAGCGCUGCCCAGCGCCAGAGGAAGAUGAAGGUGGCUGUGCUCGGCGUGGCCCUGCUCUUCUCCAUGCUGCUGUGCCUCCCAGCACAGAGCCAGGCCGACAUGGAUGGCAGUGGUGAAACUCUCUGUGCUGGGCGGGCUAGUGCCAUUUUUAUACGCAAGGUAGCCAUAGGAGUACGUGAAGGCAUAUGCAUUGGGAGACUGAAAGAGCUCCCAUGAUGGAAGAGGUUUGAGUCCCCUGUGGCUGAACAGGUGAAGCUUCUGCAGGAGUGAUGCCCAGCUGCCCCUCUGGAUGCCCUGGCCUGCAACUGGUAGAGACACUCGUGUCCUGUCCCCCUGCAGCAGCAUGAGGAGAUGAUCAUCCCUGGAGAAGGCCCUGACCCCCUUGGAGCCCUGGGAAUGUCCCUGCAGGAAUCAAUAAAUGGCUUCAGCAAAGCA